UGGGGAAUUUUGGACAAUGGGCGCAAGCCUGAUCCAGCCAUGCCGCGUGCGGGAAGAAGGCCUUCGGGUUGUAAACCGCUUUUGUCAGGGAAGAAAUCUUCUGAGUUAAUACCUCGGGAGGAUGACGGUACCUGAAGAAUAAGCACCGGCUAACUACGUGCCAGCAGCCGCGGUAAUACGUAGGGUGCAAGCGUUAAUCGGAAUUACUGGGCGUAAAGCGUGCGCAGGCGGUUUUGUAAGACAGAGGUGAAAUCCCCGGGCUCAACCUGGGAACUGCCUUUGUGACUGCAAGGCUUGAGUGCGGCAGAGGGGGAUGGAAUUCCGCGUGUAGCAGUGAAAUGCGUAGAUAUGCGGAGGAACACCGAUGGCGAAGGCAAUCCCCUGGGCCUGCACUGACGCUCAUGCACGAAAGCGUGGGGAGCAAACAGGAUUAGAUACCCUGGUAGUCCACGCCCUAAACGAUGUCAACUGGUUGUUGGGAAGGUUCCUUCUCAGUAACGUAGCUAACGCGUGAAGUUGACCGCCUGGGGAGUACGGCCGCAAGGUUGAAACUAAAGGAAUUGACGGGGUCAUAGCUGUUU
rnacentral:rRNA from 1 species